rnacentral:lncRNA from 1 species
CUUCACAUAAUUUUCCUGCUGGUGGGUAGCGCGAGUCAGUAGCAACCGUCUUCAAGCAAGGAAGGUACAGUAAGAUUAGUGGUUGCAACUCGGAGGCAGGGUUUUAGUACUUUCUAUUUCAAAUUCUGUCAACACUUAACCAUUUGUGUCACCUCGAGCUCGGGAGCUGCCCGGGUUGAAAGCUGCACAGUCUUGCCUGGAAGGAAUUCUGCUCCUAGCUACAGUCACCGGGUAAGGUAAGGUUUUUGUUGUCGGUUUGGAUCUUUUGUGGUGGUUGUUGGUUGGUUGGUUGGUUUGAGCCCUAUCCAAGAUCAUUUCCCUUCACCCACUACUCGAACCUACUUAAGAGUUUUUAAACUGUGUGCAGAGUAAAAAGUGAGUAAACCUGAGAGUAGGCCC